AACCCACUCUCCCUUGGAGAAGAGAAGGGGCGUGUUUCCACCUCGCUGUAACCCAGCGCCAAACCCUUCCCCUCCCCGCAAGGCGCGUAACGGUUCCUGCAAUCUGGGGACAACGCUGCGGGCAUCGAGGCGGUGGCGCUUGAUUUCCUUUAAAGUACCUACCACGCCACCCGCUACCUGUAAUAAUCCAUCUGAAGAGGUCGCCGGGCAGCGCCUCGGCAGACAGACUGACCUGCGGGGAGGUGCGGUUUCCAGUGGCGCGGGACAGCCGGCUCCGAGAAGGAACUGGGACCUUUGCCUAGGGCAAGACGUCAACAGGAACCCGCAGGCCCGGCCUGGACACCUGCUGCCCUCACUGGAAGCUUUAACUCCCACUCGAGUCUCUUGGCGUCGUCAGUGCCAGGAGCGCUUGGAUUGGGAUGGGGACGGAGAAGGGUGCCUCGCUCGCCGAGCCCCGCUGCCCUUGGGGACCUGGCAAAGUCGAGGUUUCCUCACAGCGUUGAGAUUGAGACUGGGGGUCGUGGUCUCAAAUAGUCAAGACCCCCUGCUGGGAGGAGCUUCUAUCCUGCUCUGUGGAAGAAAUGGGCAUGCCAGAUGCCUGGAAGAUCAGAGGCUCACAUUCCAGCUGUAGGUGGCCCACCAGGUGUCAACAACUGUAGAGUUCCAUCAAGAGUCAUCAUUUUACAGUUACAAGUCGGAGGGGCCUUCACAGAUCCGUCAGGCUCAACACUGCCUCCUUAGUGAGCCUGUGAACCACCCAAGACGGCUGGUCAUCAGUGUCAUCCUCUUCCUUUUCCGGACAACUAUCUUUAAAAGAAAAAAAAAGAGUGUCUUUGAAUGUAUCCAUUUUAUCCCCAAAUAAUCUUGUUUAAUAAAUUCCUUAUUAGGCCAAAUCCAAUGUGCUGAAAUAUCUGCCAAGCAUGUCAUUCUACACAAAAGGGAUUUGCAAAUAGCCAGUAGUUGGCGUGAAGAAAGGACAUGUGAAAGCGCUGGGUGUGGAAUUUCCCAUCCUCGGCCGGAGGUCUACUACAGCUCGCUGUUUGCAGAUCUGGGCUGAGCUAUGCAUCACAUUGUUCAUGAAAGAAAAAGCAACUGCUCUCCCCAGUGCCCCUUCCCCGCUCCACAUGGCUGCGAUCAGCAGCCCCAAGACCCUAAUUGCCACAGCCUAUUAGAAAUAAUGAGACUUACAUGGCAGAAGCCAAGGGUAAAAGCGACAUCUCGCAACACGAAAGGUUAAUAUCAACAUAUACAGCUAGUGAGUGCAAAGGGCACCUCAGUUGGUGGCUCAUUAUGGCGGGCUGACCCAUAGGGAAAGUGUCAUUCUGCAGAGAGGCCUUUCUCAGGAUGUGGCAGCAAAAGUUACAAAAGAUAAGGACUUGCCUGUGAAACGCACUCAACUAAUGAGAGCUGAAGAUUGUUUGAAAUAUCCCGAUGACCUCACAGAUGGGGGAUGCUGAUUAAGAUGGCUACAGGAGGCUCCUUUCUUGUCUGACAGCCCAUUGAGAAGCUUUGGUGAGAUGUGACUAACAGGCCGUGAAGGUGUCUCCAUCUUCUCUGACAUGGUCCAUGCUUUGGGCAAAACAAACAUGAAAAAUAAGUCUGAACUGACACACAUGUUUGAAUUUAGUUUUCAGAGCCAUAUUUGGGGGAAGGAGCACUGGUGGGGCCGUCAGCGAUGAUUCCUUUAUGGUAAAGGGUGUUCGUGACUACUUGCGUGACUAAUCGCAUGACUGCGCUGGGGGGUGAGCCAACGGCAAAUUGAGGUCUUGAACACUUGACAAAACAACCCCUGUUCUGUGGGU
ensembl:lncRNA CYP1B1-AS1 CYP1B1 antisense RNA 1